rnacentral:tRNA from 1 species
GGGAAUGUGGCUUAGUGGUAGAGUGCUUGCCUCGCAUACAUGAAGCUCUGGGUUCGAUUCCUCAGUACCA